AAUAGAAUAUUUUAAAGGUAUAGCCGUGCGGCUGUACUCUGUAAAUAGAAGAUUUUAUAAGUAUAGCCGCCCGGCUAUACCCUUAAAAUAGCAUAAU
rnacentral:miRNA from 1 species